AUUCACUGAUCAGGACAGAACACAGACAACUCACCAUGGAGUUUAGGCUGACCUGGGUUUUCCUGGUUGCUCUUUUAAAAGGUGUCCAGUGUGAGGUGCAGCUGGUGGAGUCUGGGGGAGACCUGGUGAAGCCUGGUGGGUCCCUGAGACUCUCCUGUGCUGCCUCUGGAUUCACUUUCAGCAGCUACUACAUGUACUGGGUCCGCCAGGCUCCAGGAAAGGGGCUGCAGUGGGUCGCAGCUAUUAGCUAUGAUGGAAGUAGCACAAGAUAUGCAGACUCUGUGAAGGGCCAAUUCACCAUCUCCAGAGACAACGGCAAGAACACACUGUAUCUGCAGAUGAACAGCCUGAGAACAGAGGACACAGCUGUGUAUUACUGUGCAAAGGACACA